rnacentral:misc_RNA from 1 species
CGCAAAUUAAACGUGCGUUUCGAACGAUCAACAUGACCACUAACGGCUGCCUACUGUGUACUCAGUUGUCUACAUGCCGGCGCUUAGCGGGUAUUUUUUAACCUGUCGUAUCUUGCGAAUGACUUCGGAUACAUGUUCUUUCGGUUAAUUUACUCAGUUCGGCUAUAUGAGUUCGACUUCCUCUGUAACCCCUAUCAGUUUGAUCACUUGCAGCUGAGACACUCUAUAUGGCGACAACUUCAGUCGAUAAAGUAAGUUCUCGAGCACGCCGCAAGUGUGACGUUCGAGGUAGCACCGAAACGUAGCGUGGUAAAUGGUAGGUGAUAUGGUGAUCUUGUAUAGCGUAUCUGUCUUAUGGCUAGCGGCCGAUUUCAAUGCGCUCCGAAGUACGCCGUCUCUUCGCACGCGUCCAUCAUGGCCUCCAUAGACGAUCCUACGAUCUCCGCGCUCGUUUAUGAUUAUUUAUUGAAGAAGGACACAUCCCUGGCGAAAGUCUUUCAGAAAAAAACAAAAGCGCCUGAGCUUGCAAAAGGCUCUCCAACAAUACUGCAAGUAAUACAGCAUUUUCAAAAGAAUUCAUCGAAAAAAGUUAAUGUUAAAGCACAAAAGACAAACAGCAGUUCAGAUUCAAGUUCGGAGAGCGAAGAUGAGGUGCCUAAAAAAGUGCCAAUAGUUAACGGCAAAGCGCCAGUAACAAAAAAGCCAGAAAUCAAAAAGCAAGAAAGUUCAUCAGAAGAGUCUUCUAGCGAAGAUGAAAAACCAGCCGUCAAAGUAUCCCCGCCUAAACCUGUAGCUAAAUUAACACCUGCCGCAAAAGAAUCAAGUUCAGAUGACAGCUCGUCGGACGAAGCUCCGGCUCAAACAAUUUCUUCAAAAACAAAACUGACCCCAGCUAAGCCAAAUGCCAAAAAAGCUUCUUCCAGCGACGAUUCUUCAGAUUCUGAAGAAAAUUCCAAAACACAAGUGGUGUCUAAACCUAUGGCCAAAGCUGGACCUAAAGUAAUCCCUGCAAAAGUAGCUGCAGCGAAACAAGAAUCCUCGGACGAUAGUGAUGAUAGUAGCGAUGACGAACCAGCUGUUAAAUCAAGCUCCAAACCUGCAGCUAAAGCUGGCGCCAAGCCCGUCGCUAAACCUGUGGCAAAACCAGUCGCAAAAACAGAGACUUCUAGCGAUGAUUCGGAUGAUUCAUCAGAAGACGAAAAACCGGCAGCAAAGACUCCAAGCAAAGUUACACCUGUAGUAAAGGCUACUCCUAUAAAGGUUGUAAGUUCAGCAGCUAAAAAAGAAGAAUCUUCAGACGACUCUUCCGACGAUGAUGAGCCCACUGUGUCCCCAGCUGCUAAGGUGGUAGCUAAGGCAGCUGUGAAAGCAAAAUCGAGUAGCGAAGAUUCGGAUUCAUCUGAAGACGAGAAACCUGCACCUAAACCAGUCACUCCUGCGAAUAAAGCUACCAAACUUGUCGUUAGGCAGGCUAAAGAGUCCUCAAGUGAUGAUAGCAGCAGCGAUGAGGAACCACCAAAAAAAAAGUUUGCAGCACUUCCAACUAAACCUGCAGCAAAACAAGAAUCAUCCAGUGACGAUUCUGAUGAUUCAUCAGAAGUUGAGAAACCAGUGCAGAAAGCUGUUGUAAAAUCCACACCAGCUAAAGCUGUUGUCAAACAAGUAGCUAAGAAAGAGUCCAGUGAUGACUCUGAUGAGUCUACAGAGGAUGAGAAACCUGCAUCUAAGCAAGUUGCCCCCAAAGCUGUUGCUGAGGAAACAUCCAGUUCUGAGGAUAGCGAUGAAGAGGAAACGCCAAAACCUAAAAUUACUCCAGCUGAGUCCAAAAAAAGAAAACACCAAAAUAACGAUAACGAUGAAGACGAUGAAGAUGAUACAGAAGCAAAACAAGUUGCAAAAAAACAAAAGGACAAAUAUAGCAAUUUUGUAAAGGCUGGGAACAAUGUAAAUGGGGACAAGAAAAAUACACCAUUCAGACGCGUAAAGGAUGACGAGAUCGAAGUGGAUCCACGAUUGGGGAGUAAUGCAUUUGAAGCUAAGGAAGAGGGUGAGGAAUGUGCCCAUACCCCAAAUAACGGUAACUUCAGGGGCGGAAGAGGCGGUUUAGGUUUCCGCGGAGGAAGGGGUGGCGAUAGAGGUGGUCGUGGAGGCUUCAGGGGUGGGAGAGGUGGUGAUCGCGGAGGUUUCAGGGGGGGUAGAGGUAGCUGGGGUGACCGAGGAGGAAGAGGCGGUGGCCGAGGAGGGGGUGGCAGAGGAGGUUUCGGAGAUGGAGGCAGAGGCGGUGGUGGACGAGGGGGAGGUGAUUUUAGAAAAUCUUGGGGAGGUGACGAAGGUGGCCGAGGCGGUGGAAGAGGUGGGGGCUUCAGGGGCGGCAGAGGGGGUGGUUUUGAGAAAAGAAAUUCAUUUGGAGAUGCACCCGCUCAAAAUAAGAAAAUCACUUUUGACGAUUGAUUAUAGGAGUUUUUAAAGAUAAGGUAAUCGCUCAACAUAAGACUCAUGGAUGUAUGAAAAAGCCUGUAAUUGGUACGGUAAUUCACAAAAAGGUUUCCGAGGCUCAUGGGGAGAAAGAGCAAAUCUGGACCUGAAACACACCAGGGGGAAAUCGUUCCGUCAUGAAAAAACAAAAAAAAAACGUGGCAGUUAUCGCGGUGGUCAAAUAGACAUGACAGUCAAUUCCAUUAA